CAGUCGCCACGGGAAUACGUAGGGGGCAAGCGUUAUCCGGAAUUACUGGGUGUAAAGGGAGCGUAGACGGUUAAACAAGUCUGAAGUGAAAUGCCGGGGCUCAACCCCGGAGCUGCUUUGGGAACUGUAGAACUGGAGUGUCGGAGGGGUAAGCGGAAUUCCCAGUGUAGCGGUGAAAUGCGUAGAUAUUGGGAGGAACACCGGCGGCGAAGGCGGCUUACUGGACGACAACUGACGUUGAGGCUCGAAGGCGUGGGUAGCAAACAGGAUUAGAUACCCGCGUAGUCCCUGUCUCUUAUAC
rnacentral:rRNA from 1 species